GGCUUAACCGAGGAAGCGCAGGAAACUGGGAAACUUGAGUGCAGAAGAGGACAGUGGAACUCCAUGUGUAGCGGUGAAAUGCGUAGAUAUAUGGAAGAACACCAGUGGCGAAGGCGGCUGUCUGGUCUGUAACUGACGCUGAGGCUCGAAAGCAUGGGUAGCGAACAGGAUUAGAUACCCUGGUAGUCCAUGCCGUAAACGAUGAAUGCUAGGUGUUGGAGGGUUUCCGCCCUUCAGUGCCGCAGCUAACGCAUUAAGCAUUCCGCCUGGGGAGUACGACCGCAAGGUUGAAACUCAAAGGAAUUGACGGGGGCCCGCACAAGCGGUGGAGCAUGUGGUUUAAUUCGAAGCAACGCGAAGAACCUUACCAGGUCUUGACAUCUUUUGAUCACCUGAGAGAUCAGGUUUCCCCUUCGGGGGCAAUGACAGGUGGUGCAUGGUUGUCGUCAGCCGUGUCGUGAGAUGUUGGGUUAAGUCCCGCAACGAGCGCAACCCUUAUGACUAGUUGCCAGCAUUUAGUUGGGCACUCUAGUAAGACUGCGGUGACAAACCGGAGGAAGGUGGGGAUGACGUCAAAUCAUCAUGCCCCUUAUGACCUGGGCUACACACGUGCUACAAUGGAUGGUACAACGAGUUGCGAGACCGCGAGGUCAAGCUAAUCUCUUAAAGCCAUUCUCAGUUCGGACUGUAGGCUGCAACUCGCCUACACGAAGUCGGAAUCGCUAGUAAUC
rnacentral:rRNA from 2 species